UACGUAGGUGGCAAGCGUUGUCCGGAUUUAUUGGGUUUAAAGGGUGCGUAGGCGGUCUUUUAAGUCAGUGCUGAAAUACUCCAGCUUAACUGGAGGGGUGGCAUUGAUACUGGAAGACUUGAGUGCAGUCGAAGUAGGCGGAAUUGACGGUGUAGCGGUGAAAUGCUUAGAUAUCGUCAAGAACACCGAUAGUGAAGACAGCUUACUAGGCUGCAACUGACGCUGAGGCACGAAAAGUGUGGGGGAUCAAACAGG
rnacentral:rRNA from 1 species